UACGAAGGGUGCAAGCGUUGCUCGGAAUUAUUGGGCGUAAAGAGCGUGUAGGCGGCCAGGUAGGUCUGCUGUGAAAACUCGAGGCUUAACCUCGAGCUGUCGGCGGAAACCAUCUGGCUAGAGUCCGGAAGAGGAGAAUGGAAUUCCCGGUGUAGCGGUGAAAUGCGCAGAUAUCGGGAAGAACACCCGUGGCGAAGGCGGUUCUCUGGGACGGUACUGACGCUGAGACGCGAAAGCGUGGGGAGCGAACAGG
rnacentral:rRNA from 1 species